UGGCUCACGUACGCGACUGGAUGUUGGC
rnacentral:sRNA from 1 species